AUGGAGCUCUGCGAGGGGGGAGACCUGGCGACCUACAUCGAGCGCAGCGGCGGCAGGGUGGAGGAGAGCGUCGCCAGGAAUUUCAUGAGACAGAUCGGAGCUGGUUUGCAAGUGCUCCGCCGGCACCACGUCGUCCACCGGGACUUGAAGCCUGAGAACAUCCUACUCUCUUGUCCUGGCAGUGAUGCGAUACUCAAGAUAUCCGAUUUUGGCCUGUCCAGGGUUCUUCAUCCUGGGGAGUAUGCAGAGACAGCCUGCGGCACUCGUUUGUACAUGGCCCCGGAAGUGAUGCUAUUUCAGAAGUACGAUGACAAGGUAGACUUGUGGAGUAUGGGUGCGAUCCUCUUUGAGCUCUUGAACGGCUACCCGCCGUUCCGUGGUAGAAGUAAUGUGCAGAUGCUUCAAUGCAUAAACAGAACUAGCAGCUCUCUUCCGUUCUCGCAACUCGUUGUGCCCAGCCUGCAUCCUGAUUCCAUCGACAUAUGCACCAGACUACUGUGCACGAAUCCAGUAAAGCGGCUGUCAUUGCAAGAAUUCAUCAACCAUGGCUUCCUCCGACCGUAG
rnacentral:rRNA from 1 species